rnacentral:tRNA from 1 species
AACUAAGAAGCGAAUGUCGCAUUUAGUUUCGGCCUAAACUCUGGCAACUCAAGUUGCCCUUAGUUA